rnacentral:sRNA from 2 species
CCACACAUCCCUCCAAUCUUGGCCUGCGGCAGUGAUUUCUAACUUCCAAGCCACUAUCCUCUCAAAUGAAUGUGUUUUUGGCUGCGGAUAAGUGUAGCAAUACUGCAUACUGUGUAAUGUUCCAGUUUACGGAGCAAAGAUACACAUCAGAUCAUAACCCCUUAAAGCCACAUGAAAUUAAGGUGGCUCUGGCCAAGUGUCUAUUCUUGCUAAUGAUGGAUAAUAAUAGACCACAUCAACCGCCCCUGCACAUUUCAUGGCUGACCAAAGCACCAGAGGCCCUCUGCAUAUGGCUCGCAAACAACGUAAAAGACAAACAGGGUAGAUUCGUUGGCAACCGAACGCGGAUGUGGGCAUAUAAGACGUUGCCCUCCGCACAACACUGGGCAUUCACCG